AGAAAUUCCAAUCGAACCUGGAGAUAGCUGGUUCUCUCCGAAAUAGCUUUAGGGCUAGCCUCAAGUGAUGAUUAUUGGAGGUAGAGCACUGUUUGGACGAGGGGCCCCUCUCGGGUUACCGAAUUCAGACAAACUCCGAAUGCCAAUUAAUUUAACUUGGGAGUCAGAACAUGGGUGAUAAGGUCCGUGUUCGAAAGGGAAACAGCCCAGACCACCAGCUAAGGUCCCAAAAUAUAUGUUAAGUGGAAAAGGAUGUGGCGUUGCCCAGACAACUAGGAUGUUGGCUUAGAAGCAGCCAUCAUUUAAAGAGUGCGUAAUAGCUCACUAGUCGAGUGACACUGCGCCGAAAAUGUACCGGGGCU
rnacentral:rRNA from 1 species